rnacentral:rRNA from 1 species
UACGGGGGGGCAAGCGUUGUUCGGAAUUACUGGGCGUAAAGGGCGCGUAGGCGGCCUUCUAAGUCGGACGUGAAAUCCCUCGGCUUAACCGAGGAACUGCGUCCGAUACUGAAAGGCUUGAAUCCGGGAGAGGGAUGUGGAAUUCCAGGUGUAGCGGUGAAAUGCGUAGAUAUCUGGAGGAACACCGGUGGCGAAGGCGGGUCUCUGGGCCGAUACUGACGCUGAGGUGCGAAAGCGUGGGGAGCAAACAGG